UGGGGAAUAUUGCACAAUGGGCGCAAGCCUGAUGCAGCCAUGCCGCGUGUAUGAAGAAGGCCUUCGGGUUGUAAAGUACUUUCAGCGGGGAGGAAGGGAGUAAGGUUAAUAACCUUAUUCAUUGACGUUACCCGCAGAAGAAGCACCGGCUAACUCCGUGCCAGCAGCCGCGGUAAUACGGAGGGUGCAAGCGUUAAUCGGAAUUAUUGGGCGUAAAGCGCACGCAGGCGGUCUGUCAAGUCGGAUGUGAAAUCCCCGGGGCUCAACCUGGGAACUGCAUUCGAAACUGGCAGGCUGGAGUCUUGUAGAGGGGGGUAGAAUUCCAGGUGUAGCGGUGAAAUGCGUAGAGAUCUGGAGGAAUACCGGUUGGCGAAGGCGGCCCCCUGGACAAAGACUGACGCUCAGGUGCCGAAACGUGGGGAGCAAACA
rnacentral:rRNA from 1 species